AUACGGAAGGUCCGGGCGUUAUCCGGAUUUAUUGGGUUUAAAGGGAGCGCAGGCGGAGGCUUAAGCGUGACGUGAAAUGUAGCCGCUCAACGGCUGAGUUGCGUCGCGAACUGGGUUUCUUGAGUGAGUGCGACGUCAGCGGAAUUCGUGGUGUAGCGGUGAAAUGCUUAGAUAUCACGAAGAACCCCGAUUGCGAAGGCAGCUGACGAGCCCUUUACUGACGCUAAAGCUCGAAGGUGCGGGUAUCGAACAGGAUUAGAUACCCUGGUAGUCCGCACGGUAAACGAUGGAUGCCCGCUGUAUGCGAUACAAUGUAUGCGGCCAAGCGAAAGCGUUAAGCAUCCCACCUGGGGAGUACGCCGGCAACGGUGAAACUCAAAGGAAUUGACGGGG
rnacentral:rRNA from 1 species